CCUACGGGUGGCAGCAGUGAGGAAUAUUGGUCAAUGGGCGUAAGCCUGAACCAGCCAAGUCGCGUGAGGGAUGAAGGUUCUAUGGAUCGUAAACCUCUGUUAUAAGGGAAUAAAGUGUGGGACGUGUCCUGUUUUGUAUGUACCUUAUGAAUAAGGAUCGGCUAACUCCGUGCCAGCAGCCGCGGUAAUACGGAGGCUCCGAGCGUUAUCCGGAUUUAUUGGGUUUAAAGGGUGCGUAGGCGGCCUUUUAAGUCAGCGGUGAAAGUCUGUGGCUCAACCAUAGAAUUGCCGUUGAAACUGGGAGGCUUGAGUAUGUUUGAGGCAGGCGGAAUGUGGGGUGUAGCGGUGAAAUGCUUAGAUAUCACGCAGAACCCCGAUUGCGAAGGCAGCCUGCCAAGCCAUGACUGACGCUGAUGCACGAAAGCGUGGGGAUCAAACAGGAUUAGAUACCCCUGUAGUC
rnacentral:rRNA from 1 species